rnacentral:rRNA from 1 species
GACGAACCGUGCGAACGUUAUUCGGAAUCACUGGGCUUAAAGGGCGCGUAGGCGGGCUCGCAGGUCAGGGGUGAAAGCCCACGGCUCAACCGUGGAAGUGCCUUUGAUACCGUGAGUCUCGAGGGAGGUAGGGGCGUGCGGAACUUCCGGUGGAGCGGUGAAAUGCGUAGAUAUCGCUUGGAACGCCAACGGUGAAAACAGGUUGCUGGGGUUGUGCCGACGCUGAGACACGAAAGCCAGGGGAGCAAACGGG